rnacentral:rRNA from 1 species
ACAAGCGGUGGAGCAUGUGGUUAAUCGAAGCAACACGAAGAACCUUACCAGGUCUUGACAUCCCUGACAGCCCAAGAGAGUUGGGCCGUUCCCCGUUCGGGGGGACAGGGUGACAGGUGGUGCAUGGUUGUCGUCAGCUCGUGUCGUGAGAUGUUGGGUUAAGUCCCGCAACGAGCGCAACCCUCGCCUCUAGUUGCCAGCAUUCGGUUGGGCACUCUAGAGGGACUGCCGGCGACAAGUCGGAGGAAGGUGGGAUGACGUCAAAUCAUCAUGCCCCUUAUGACCUGGGCUACACACGUGCUACAAUGGGCGGUACAAAGGGCUGCGAACCCGCGAGGGGGAGCGAAUCCCAAAAAGCCGCUCUCAGUCCGGAUUGCAGGCUGCAACUCGCCUGCAUGAAGCCGGAAUCGCUAGUAAUCGCGGAUCAGCAUGCCGCGGUGAAUACGUUCCCGGGCCUU